rnacentral:rRNA from 1 species
AGAGUUUGAUUAUGGCUCAGGAUGAACGCUGGCGGCAGGCUUAAUACAUGCAAGUCGAACGGUAAGGCCGAGUGCAGCAAUGCACGAGGUACACGAGUGGCGCACGGGUGCGUAACGCGUAUGCAACCUGCCCUUGACCGGGACAAAACAGCUGGAAACGGCUGCUAAUAUCCCAUGGCCACACGAGGGGGCAUCCCCAUGUGUGUAAAGAUUCAUUGGUCAGGGAUGGGCAUGCGUAUUAUUAGGUAGUUGGCGGGGUAACGGCCCACCAAGCCGACGAUGAUUAGGGUCCUGAGAGGGUUAACCCCCACACUGGAACUGAGACACGGUCCAGACUCCUACGGGAGGCAGCAGUAGGGAAUAUUGGGCAAUGGAGGCAACUCUGACCCAGCCAUGCCGCCGUGAAGGAAGACGGCCCUAUGGGUUGUAAACUUCUUUUGCCGCAGAGUAAACGCGGGGACGGGUCCCCGUUUGAGAGUAUGCGGCGAAUAAGUAUCGGCUAACUCCGUGCCAGCAGCAGC